rnacentral:rRNA from 1 species
AGAUUAAGUUAUUAAGGGCGCACGGUGGAUGCCUUGGCACUAGAAGCCGAUGAAGGACGUUACUAACGACGAUAUGCUUUGGGGAGCUGUAAGUAAGCUUUGAUCCAGAGAUUUCCGAAUGGGGAAACCCAGCAUGAGUUAUGUCAUGUUAUCGAUAUGUGAAUACAUAGCAUAUCAGAAGGCACACCCGGAGAACUGAAACAUCUUAGUACCCGGAGGAAGAGAAAGAAAAUUCGAUUCCCUUAGUAGCGGCGAGCGAAACGGGAAGAGCCCAAACCAACAAGCUUGCUUGUUGGGGUUGUAGGACACUCUAUACGGAGUUACAAAGGACGACAUUAGACGAAUCAUCUGGAAAGAUGAAUCAAAGAAGGUAAUAAUCCUGUAGUCGAAAAUGUUGUCUCUCUUGAGUGGAUCCUGAGUACGACGGAGCACGUGAAAUUCCGUCGGAAUCUGGGAGGACCAUCUCCUAAGGCUAAAUACUCUCUAGUGACCGAUAGUGAACCAGUACCGUGAGGGAAAGGUGAAAAGCACCCCGGAAGGAGAGUGAAAUAGAACCUGAAACCGUGUGCUUACAAGUAGUCAGAGCCCGUUAAUGGGUGAUGGCGUGCCUUUUGUAGAAUGAACCGGCGAGUUACGAUUUGAUGCAAGGUUAAGCAGUAAAUGUGGAG